GAUGAACGCUGGCGGUGUGCCUAAUACAUGCAAGUCGAGCGAACGGUCGAGAAGCUUGCUCUUCUGAUGUUAGCGGCGGACGGGAGAGUAACACGUGGAUAACCUACCUAUAAGACUGGGAUAACUUCGGGAAACCGGAUCUAAUACCGGAUAAUAUUUUGAACUGCAUGGUUCAAAAGUUGAAGACGGUCUUGCGGUCACUUAUAGAUGGAUCCGGGGUGCAUUAGCUAGUUGGUAAGGUAAUGGCUUACCAAGGCAACGAGGCAUAGCCGACCUGAGCGGGUCGUCGGCUACCCGGGAUCAGAGACACGGUCCAGACUCCGACAGUGAGACGCAGUAGAGACUCUUACGGGAUGGAGCAGUGCGGAACAGAGCAAAGCCGGGGGAGGGAUGAAGGACUUAUGCUCGUUGAGCUCUGAAGUUCGGGGGGUAGAAAUGUGUAAUUAACUGUGCUGAUCUUGACGGUACCGAGUCAAAAAGCCCCGGCUAACUACGUG
rnacentral:rRNA from 1 species